rnacentral:rRNA from 1 species
CUUGCUAAGUUUGAUGGCGACCGGCGCACGGGUGAGUAACACGUAUCCAACCUGCCGAUGACUCGGGGAUAGCCUUUCGAAAGAAAGAUUAAUACCCGAUGGCAUAGUUCUUCCGCAUGGUGGAACUAUUAAAGAAUUUCGGUCAUCGAUGGGGAUGCGUUCCAUUAGGUUGUUGGCGGGGUAACGGCCCACCAAGCCUUCGAUGGAUAGGGGUUCUGAGAGGAAGGUCCCCCACAUUGGAACUGGGACACGGUCCAAACUCCUACGGGAGGCAGCAUG